GGUUAAGCGACUAAGCGUACACGGUGGAUGCCCUGGCAGUCAGAGGCGAUGAAGGACGUGCUAAUCUGCGAUAAGCGUCGGUAAGGUGAUAUGAACCGUUAUAACCGGCGAUUUCCGAAUGGGGAAACCCAGUGUGUUUCGACACACUAUCAUUAACUGAAUCCAUAGGUUAAUGAGGCGAACCGGGGGAACUGAAACAUCUAAGUACCCCGAGGAAAAGAAAUCAACCGAGAUUCCCCCAGUAGCGGCGAGCGAACGGGGAGGAGCCCAGAGCCUGAAUCAGUGUGUGUGUUAGUGGAAGCGUCUGGAAAGGCGCGCGAUACAGGGUGACAGCCCCGUACACAAAAAUGCACAUGCUGUGAGCUCGAUGAGUAGGGCGGGACACGUGGUAUCCUGUCUGAAUAUGGGGGGACCAUCCUCCAAGGCUAAAUACUCCUGACUGACCGAUAGUGAACCAGUACCGUGAGGGAAAGGCGAAAAGAACCCCGGCGAGGGGAGUGAAAAAGAACCUGAAACCGUGUACGUACAAGCAGUGGGAGCACAGAGCAAUCUGUGUGACUGCGUACCUUUUGUAUAAUGGGUCAGCGACUUAUAUUCUGUAGCAAGGUUAACCGAAUAGGGGAGCCGAAGGGAAACCGAGUCUUAACUGGGCGUUAAGUUGCAGGGUAUAGACCCGAAACCCGGUGAUCUAGCCAUGGGCAGGUUGAAGGUUGGGUAACACUAACUGGAGGACCGAACCGACUAAUGUUGAAAAAUUAGCGGAUGACUUGUGGCUGGGGGUGAAAGGCCAAUCAAACCGGGAGAUAGCUGGUUCUCCCCGAAAGCUAUUUAGGUAGCGCCUCGUGAAUUCAUCUCCGGGGGUAGAGCACUGUUUCGGCAAGGGGGUCAUCCCGACUUACCAACCCGAUGCAAACUGCGAAUACCGGAGAAUGUUAUCACGGGAGACACACGGCGGGUGCUAACGUCCGUCGUGAAGAGGGAAACAACCCAGACCGCCAGCUAAGGUCCCAAAGUCAUGGUUAAGUGGGAAACGAUGUGGGAAGGCCCAGACAGCCAGGAUGUUGGCUUAGAAGCAGCCAUCAUUUAAAGAAAGCGUAAUAGCUCACUGGUCGAGUCGGCCUGCGCGGAAGAUGUAACGGGGCUAAACCAUGCACCGAAGCUGCGGCAGCGACACUGUGUGUUGUUGGGUAGGGGAGCGUUCUGUAAGCCUGUGAAGGUGUGCUGUGAGGCAUGCUGGAGGUAUCAGAAGUGCGAAUGCUGACAUAAGUAACGAUAAAGCGGGUGAAAAGCCCGCUCGCCGGAAGACCAAGGGUUCCUGUCCAACGUUAAUCGGGGCAGGGUGAGUCGACCCCUAAGGCGAGGCCGAAAGGCGUAGUCGAUGGGAAACAGGUUAAUAUUCCUGUACUUGGUGUUACUGCGAAGGGGGGACGGAGAAGGCUAUGUUGGCCGGGCGACGGUUGUCCCGGUUUAAGCGUGUAGGCUGGUUUUCCAGGCAAAUCCGGAAAAUCAAGGCUGAGGCGUGAUGACGAGGCACUACGGUGCUGAAGCAACAAAUGCCCUGCUUCCAGGAAAAGCCUCUAAGCAUCAGGUAACAUCAAAUCGUACCCCAAACCGACACAGGUGGUCAGGUAGAGAAUACCAAGGCGCUUGAGAGAACUCGGGUGAAGGAACUAGGCAAAAUGGUGCCGUAACUUCGGGAGAAGGCACGCUGAUAUGUAGGUGAAGUCCCUCGCGGAUGGAGCUGAAAUCAGUCGAAGAUACCAGCUGGCUGCAACUGUUUAUUAAAAACACAGCACUGUGCAAACACGAAAGUGGACGUAUACGGUGUGACGCCUGCCCGGUGCCGGAAGGUUAAUUGAUGGGGUCAGCGCAAGCGAAGCUCUUGAUCGAAGCCCCGGUAAACGGCGGCCGUAACUAUAACGGUCCUAAAGUAGCGAAAUUCCUUGUCGGGUAAGUUCCGACCUGCACGAAUGGCGUAAUGAUGGCCAGGCUGUCUCCACCCGAGACUCAGUGAAAUUGAACUCGCUGUGAAGAUGCAGUGUACCCGCGGCAAGACGGAAAGACCCCGUGAACCUUUACUAUAGCUUGACACUGAACAUUGAGCCUUGAUGUGUAGGAUAGGUGGGAGGCUUUGAAGUGUGGACGCCAGUCUGCAUGGAGCCGACCUUGAAAUACCACCCUUUAAUGUUUGAUGUUCUAACGUGGACCCGUGAUCCGGGUUGCGGACAGUGUCUGGUGGGUAGUUUGACUGGGGCGGUCUCCUCCUAAAGAGUAACGGAGGAGCACGAAGGUUGGCUAAUCCUGGUCGGACAUCAGGAGGUUAGUGCAAUGGCAUAAGCCAGCUUGACUGCGAGCGUGACGGCGCGAGCAGGUGCGAAAGCAGGUCAUAGUGAUCCGGUGGUUCUGAAUGGAAGGGCCAUCGCUCAACGGAUAAAAGGUACUCCGGGGAUAACAGGCUGAUACCGCCCAAGAGUUCAUAUCGACGGCGGUGUUUGGCACCUCGAUGUCGGCUCAUCACAUCCUGGGGCUGAAGUAGGUCCCAAGGGUAUGGCUGUUCGCCAUUUAAAGUGGUACGCGAGCUGGGUUUAGAACGUCGUGAGACAGUUCGGUCCCUAUCUGCCGUGGGCGCUGGAGAACUGAGGGGGGCUGCUCCUAGUACGAGAGGACCGGAGUGGACGCAUCACUGGUGUUCGGGUUGUCAUGCCAAUGGCACUGCCCGGUAGCUAAAUGCGGAAGAGAUAAGUGCUGAAAGCAUCUAAGCACGAAACUUGCCCCGAGAUGAGUUCUCCCUGACCCUUUAAGGGUCCUGAAGGAACGUUGAAGACGACGACGUUGAUAGGCCGGGUGUGUAAGCGCAGCGAUGCGUUGAGCUAACCGGUACUAAUGAACCGUGAGGCUUAACCUU
rnacentral:rRNA from 1 species